rnacentral:rRNA from 1 species
UGAACGCUGGCGGCAGGCCUAACACAUGCAAGUCGAACGGUAACAGGAAACAGCUUGCUGUUUCGCUGACGAGUGGCGGACGGGUGAGUAAUGUCUGGGAAACUGCCUGAUGGAGGGGGAUAACUACUGGAAACGGUAGCUAAUACCACAUAACGUCGCAAGACCAAAGAGGGGGACCUUCGGGCCUCUUGCCAUCGGAUGUGCCCAGAUGGGAUUAGCUUGUUGGUGGGGUAACGGCUCACCAAGGCGACGAUCCCUAGCUGGUCUGAGAGGAUGACCAGCCACACUGGAACUGAGACACGGUCCAGACUCCUACGGGAGGCAGCAGUGGGGAAUAUUGCACAAUGGGCGCAAGCCUGAUGCAGCCAUGCCGCGUGUAUGAAGAAGGCCUUCGGGUUGUAAAGUACUUUCAGCGGGGAGGAAGGGAGUAAAGUUAAUACCUUUGCUCAUUGACGUUACCCGCAGAAGAAGCACCGGCUAACUCCGUG